UACGAAGGGUGCAAGCGUUAUUCGGAAUUACUGGGCGUAAAGCGUGCGUAGGUGGCUUGUUAAGUCUGCCGUGAAAUCCCCGGGCUCAACCUGGGAAUGGCGUUGGAUACUGGCAAGCUAGAGUGCGGUAGAGGAUGGUGGAAUUCCCGGUGUAGCGGUGAAAUGCGUAGAGAUCGGGAGGAACAUCAGUGGCGAAGGCGGCCAGCUGGGCCAACACUGACACUGAGGCACGAAAGCGUGGGGAGCAAACAGG
rnacentral:rRNA from 1 species